UCGCCUUCGGAGGCUAUUCAGUGAGUUCACUCUGGGAGGAUCGUGAUCCUUCGGUUGGUCGGUGAAUCCGCCGUCCUCCUCGCCAUAGCCAGAGAGGGGCUGGGAAGGAAAGUGUGGGGGCCUGGCUGGGCUGAUGACUCAGGGCCACGCACCGCACAAGGAGUGAGGGAGGAGGGGGAGGGAGGGAGGAAUUACUCAGAGCAUGUGGAAUCUCAUACAGCUAUCACAGGACAGACACUGUGCUUCUACUAGGCUCUGAGGCUCUGUAGUCUGUCCUUAGACACAGUGGUAAUGGCAGUGGUAAGACGGCUAAGGGCCAUUGGUUUCCAUUGAAGAGGAACAGAACAGAGCAGUAUACUCUUGUACUCGCACUUUGAAACAAAGUCAUGCCCCCCUUCUUAUUGAAUGAAUUACGUCUUUCUAUUACAGCAAGUCGGUGCAGGUUGGAAGCUCUGCAACUCCAGCAAAGUAAUUAAGCAUUGCAUGCUGUCAAAAUAUUCCAUUACAAAAGUCUUGAAGAUUUGGGAAGUGUCUCCGAUGAUUAUCUAGAUGGGAGGGGGAGGUGAGUUGGGCCGUUUAUUGUCCAGUUCUUCCUGUUUCUUUCUUGAGUGAUGAUGCUCCUCCUCCAGCUCUGUCAUUGGAGAAAUCCUUUCGAAUGACCAAGCUUCAUUGAGUGAUGAUGACAAACAUUUCCAGAAAGAGAAUAUAAGUGGUGAGAGAACUACCUGUAUGACAUGCGAUACGGACUCUCUAUGCGCCCCCUCUAGUGUGAGUCAUCAGGCCUAAAGACGCCGAGCUGUGAGUGGUGAAUCAGGUGUUGAUAAUGGCCAACAGUGGCCGGCCCCACACAGGUGGGGGCUGGUGUGUGUAUUGUGUGCAGUGUGUGCAUGUAUUGUGUGAUGUGAGUGUGGAGGGAGAUUAUGGUGUGUGUGUGUGUCUUCAUGAAGGGGGGUUGAUGUUGUGUGAUGCAUGACUCAACAGGAGAGAAGGCCACACCCAUGGGACGAGCCCAGGCUCCCUUCAGCGGCGGCAUGGGCCUAGAUUUCACUGACUAUGGGUGCCACGAUUAAAGUGUAUUGGCCUAACUGAUGAAGCUCAAACACUUGAAGAGCCACUCAAAUCCUGCAAAACACUCCGACACAAAGGCAGAGAGGCCGGGCGAGAAAGUGGAGCACACCUUCACCCUCUGCUGUAUCCCCCUUUAUAAAUAAACUCUUCCAACCUGAUUUCAGCCAACCAGCUACUGAGAGUCUGGGCCCGUAUUCACAACGCGUCUCAGAGUAGCAGUGCUGAUCUAGGAUCAGGUCCCCCCGUCCAUACAAUCAUAUUCAUUAUGAUCUAAAAGGCAAAAAACGGAACCUAGAUCUGCACUCCUACUCUGAGACACUUUAUGAUAGGGACAACCCAGAGUAAACAGAACGACUUAGCCAUGGCUUAACCAUGUGUUGCAUCUCCAUAAUGGUAAUUUCCUCCAGUAAUUACUAAUCAUUAAAGGUCUCACUCCCAAAUCACCUGGUUAGUGUUUAUAAUACGGUCUGCCUUGGUAAAUUCCCAUAAUUCUGAAAUAGCCUGAUUGUGUUUAAUUGGAGCAUUCACUAAAGAGUCCACCCACCAGCAUCAACAAAUCCAAGGUAUUUUAACAGCAGGGAACAAUUUAAUCCGCCUCUAUAUAUCACCAUUGUAAACAUCCAAGACACAGAGCCCAAUGUUGCACAAUGAGCCUGAGUUGAGGAGGAGGAGGAGUUGAAAGGUCAGGUAAACACUUGUCCCAGGCUUUCCCUGCCUUUUUAAUCAGGACUCCUGUCCAUUUUUAUCUUGGUUAGAUCUCUUGACUUAUGGCUGUGUACACUAAUGCUGCACUUCUGGCGGCUCCUUAACUCACUGUUUGGUUUCUUUCAUAUGGACGGGAAUGUCAAGUUGCUUGUUGGCCUGGAGGCUUGUGCGCUGAGUUGCCGACAAAGCAUGAAAUGAAUCCUUUGCAGGCUAAUGGGCGGGCCAACCGUUUCCAGUGUUUGUCAUGGUACAAACUCUGCUGUCCCGGGGGGAGCAAAUCAAGUACACUAUAGGCCUACCAAUCGGAGGACUGUCUGCAGUAACAUAGCAGGCAUAAAAGAAAGCUACAGCAAAGGCGCUACAGAGGCUAGUGUGUACCAGUACAUCACUGGGGCCAAGCUUCCUGCCAUCCAGGACCUAUAUACUAAGGAGGUGUCAGAAAAAGGCCCCAAAAAUUGUCAAAGACUCCAGUCACCCAAGUCAUAGACUGUUCUCUCUGCUACUGCACGGCAAGCCAAGUCUAGGACCAAAAGGCUCCUUAACAGCUUCUACCCCCAAGCCAUAAGACUGCUGAACAAUUAAUCAAAUGGCCAGCCGGACUAUAUACAUUGACCACCACUCCCCCUUUGUUUUUACACUGCUGCUACUCGCUGUUUAUUAUCUAUGCAUAGUCACUUUACAAAUUACCUCAACUAACCUGUACCCACGCACAUUGACUCGGUACCGGUGUCCCCUGUAUAUAGCCUCAUUGUUAUGCAAUUUUCUUGUUACUUUUUGAUUUUAUUACUUUUUUAAACUUUCAUUUAUUUAGUAAAUAUUUUCUUAACUCUAUUUCUUGAACUGCAUUGUUGGUUAAGGGCUUGUAAGCAUUUCACUGUGAGCAUUUCACCGUUGCAUUUGGCGCAUGUGACAAAUAACAUUUGAUUUGAAGACUGUGUCCCUUUUUGGACAGUGUCAGAGGAGGACCCUAAGUCUGCUGCUCUCUCCCUCCGCUGAGACUGACCAUCAGAUGCAGGCUCCAUCAGCCUAGUAAAAUAACAAUGAUUGAAAUGUAUGCUUAUUCACCUGUGCCUCACAAUAAUACACCUGCUCUGUUACCGGUGUGAUCAUAUAGCCUACCUUAAAUGUUGAAAUAUAAUUGUAAAAAAGGGUCUGAGAAGCAAAGCCAAUAUGCAGUGAUAAUAUAUUGGGCCUAUAGCCUACUGCACAAACCUCAUUACUACAGCACCGUUUUGAAUAGGUUAAUGUUGCCUAGGCUUACGUUUUUAAAUCAUGUACAAAAAAACGGUUGAACGGUAGAUCUCGGCUUGCAUUUUGACUCAGAAAUUGAUCCGACUCAGAAAAGGGAUGUGACCACCUGCUUUAGAUCAUUCCAGGUGGUCCCUGCCUUCUUCGUCUUUUAUUAUUCCGCUUCAUCCUCUUCAAUGUCUUCAUCUUCUUCUCAAUAAAUAGGUUUUAGUCAGUAGCCAACUGUUGCAUCAAUGCACGCUACCAUUUCUAGAACAUGGCUGUAGAUUUCUUCUGAAGUAGGGUGAUAUUUAUGAUGUAACACACCACACAACUGCAGUCUUCUUAAGCUUUAGCAGCCUCCGCCACGGCCAUUUUAGAUAUAUAAAGUUAAUAAAGAAGUUGUAUUGGAGUAAACACUCGUCUCCGUUCCCAGAGCGAGAGAGAAGAAAAUUUAUGUAGUGCAGUAAAUUGAACUCAACUUUGCCUCGUUCAUGAACUCCCCUAAAAAUAACCUGUUCCAACAAGUGAAACCCUUUCCAGCUAAGCUAACACAAAGGCCCUUUAAAGUAACAUAAGAUAAUUGAUUUUCAAUUAUGAGAUAUCAAUUUAAACCAGGUUAGCCUCUGUCAAAGGCUGAGAAACGCUUGAAAAGUGUCGGGCAUAACCAUAUAAAGGUAUUUUCUCUAAAUACUUUGAUACAGUGCUUUCAGAAAGUAUUCACGCACCUUGACUUAUUCCACAUUUUGUUGUGUUACAGCCUGAAUUUAAAAUGGAUUAAAUUCAGAUGUUGUGUCACUGGCUUGCACACAAUACCCCAAACAAACAGGUCUGGAUGAGAUCUUUUUUGGUCAGUGCCCCCGCAAGGCUCACAAAAUCAUUUUAGACCCAAGCCACCCCCUGUACCCGGACUUUGAACUACUCCCCUCGGGCGCAGGUAUAGGACACCCCUCAGCAGGAAAAACACAACUAGACAGUAAUUUGUGCCAGGUGUGAUAUCCCUCCUAAAUAGCUCGGGCUAAUGUUCCUAUCGACUCAGUAAGGCCAGCAGGCUAGUCUUUUUUAUUCUUGAUUAUGUUUUAUUGGUAUGUAACUGUUAUGAAAGUUGUAUUGUCAAUUUUGUUUUGUAUUUAAACGCCACUUUAAACGUGUACAUGACACUGCAACAACAUUUCCCCAUGGGGACAAAGUCAGUAAGUAAGUAAUGUCAAAGUGGAAUUUUUUACAAAUGAAUUAAAAAUGAAAAUCUGAAAUGUCUUGAGUCAAUAAGUAUUCAACCUCUUUGUUAAGGCAAGCUUAAAUAAGUUCAGGAGUAAAAAUGUGCUUAACAAGUCACAUAAUAAUUUGUAUGGACUCACUCUGUAUGCAAUAAUUGUUUAACAUGUAUUUUUUUAUGACUACCUCAUCUCUGUACCCCACACAUACAAUUAUCUGUAAGGUCCCUCAGUCGAGCAGUGAAUUACAAACACAGAAACCAGGGAGGUUUUCUAAUGCCUCACAAAGGGCACCUAUUGGUAGAUACAUCAAAUAAAAAUAGCACAUUGAAUAUCCCUUUGAGCGUGGUGAAAUUAUGAAUUACACGUUGGAUGGUGUAUCAAUACACACAAUCACUACAAAGACACAGGUGUCCUUCAUAAUGCCGUUUUUGGAGAGGAAGGAGAAUGCUCAGGGAUUUCACCAUGAGGCCAAUGGUGCCAUUAAAACAGUUACAGAGUUGGCUAUGAUAGGAGAACUGAGGAUGGAUCAACAACAUUGUAGUUACUCCACAAUACUAACCUGAAUGAAAAGAGUGAAAAGGAAGCCUGUACAGAAAAAAAAUAUUCCAAAACAUGCAUCCUGUUUGCAAUAAUGCACUAAAGUAAAACUUCAAAACGUGGCAAAAAUGUUAACAUUUUGUCCAGAAUACAAAGCGUUAUAUUUUGGGAUAAUCCAGCACAACACAUCAUGGAGUACCACUCUUCAUAUUUUCAAGCAUGGUGGGUGUCUGCAUCAUGAAUAUGAUUGUCAUCGGCAAGGACUAGGGAGUUUCUUUCGGAUAAAAAAUAAACAGAAUAGAGAUAAGCACAGGCACAAUCCUAGUAGAAAACCUGGUUCAGUCUGCUUUCCAAAAGACACUUGGAGACAAAUUCACCUUUCAGCAGGACAAUAACUUAAAACAAGGCCAAAUAUACACUGGAGUUGCUUACCAAGAUGACAUUGAAAGUUCCUGAGUGGCCUAGUUAAUUUUUUAAACUUAAAUCUGCUUGAGAAUCUAUAUCAAGACUUGAAAAUGUCUCUCUAGCAAUGAUCAACAACCAACUUGACAAAGCUUGAAUAUUUUUUUAAAUAAUAAUGUGCAAAUAUUGUACAAUCCAGGUGUGUAAAACUCUUAGAGACUUACCCAGAAAUACUUACCACUGUAAUCGCUGCCAAAGAUUUUUCUAACAUGUAUUGACUCAGGGGUGUGAAUACUUAUGUAAAUGAGAUAUUUCUGUAUUUCAUUUUCAAUACAUUUACAAACAUGUUUUCACGUUAUCUUAUGGGGUAUUGUGUGUAGAUGGGUGAGAAGAACAUCUAUUGAAUGCAUUUUGAAUUCAGGCUGGAACACAACAUGUGGAAGGGUAUAUAUGAAUACUUUCUGAAGACACUGUAUAUCCCACAGAAAACACAUUCACACACACACACACACACACACACACACACACACACACACACACACACACACACACACGUCGAUCCUGGGUGUCUGCUGAGGUGUUGAGGGGGGGAUUGGCUGCCGAGUAACAGAGGCUGCAAAAAAUUAGUAUACAGAGUAGUGAUGUAGCCUCGAAUGCCCUCUGGUUAACAGAGAGGAUAGCAUGAACACACCACACUUUCUCUAUUCUUUUCAUCUCUUCCUUUUUCUCUCUCUUUUUCCUCUCCCUCUCCUCUCCCUCCUCAGGUUCAGACAGUUUAAAGGCCAUGUGAUUCGACUGAGCCCCGGCUGUGUGGGAUACUCUAGGACUCCAGCAUUAAGAUAAUGAGACAGUCACGGUGGGGCUAGUUUUACAGGAAGUCAACCGGAGUAGUGAGAAUCUUUAAACUACUCUCAAGUCUCAUUCAGAGAGAGAGAGAGAGGUAACCCUGUGGUGGGCGUAAGUAAGAGGAUGGAUGGUUUAAUUGGGCGAAGAGAAUGAAAUGGAUUCAUUUCUGGUUUGUUUAAAAGGCGUAGUAAUUAGAGGUGGGAACAGAGUAGUAUUAGCAGCAGGGGUGGGAGAGAAGUGAAGUGAAAGCUCAACAUUUCCCAUUAGAAACUGCAUCUAGGCCGGUCAUGUGUGUUAAAUAGCCAUCUGAUUGGCUGACUGACUACUGUUGUAUAGGUCUGUUAUACUGUACAGAGCACUAGGUAGUCAUGAGCUUAGAGAAUCAACUCCCUUGUAAACCAGAUGACCAUCUCAGUGGGACUCGCCAGGUUAAAAAAAGGGUAGAUCAAAUAAAUAAAGGCGGGACUUUCCUCUCAAUGCAGGCUGCAGUUUACUAUGGUGUGGAGUGGGACAUGGGAUGGGGUGGCUGGGUGAGAUUUACUACACUAGUAGAGUCACAAGGGGCUGGAGUGAAGUGGUGCUUUUCUCUGCUCUGCUCUCCUCCCUUUUUCUAUGCAGCUGCCUGGUAUGUGGGUCACACACCAUGAUUUUGUGUGUGUGUGUGUGUGUAGUGUGUUUUCACCCGCCUGUAUGUAUGCUCCUCUAUUCGUGUGUCUCUAUGUGUGUACCUCGGCGUGCACCUGCAUGUGUGUAUGUGUGUGCACACGUAUUCCUAUAUGUGUAUGUACCUAUCGCCAGACGGGGAGAUAUUUAAGCGUGACACGCUGCAUGGCCUGUUUGCCAUGCUCCCAGCCAUCAAGAGAAGUGUACACAUCCCUCACCUUGGCCAGGGAGGAAGGAUAUUUUUGAUGAAGUGGAGGGCUGAAUUUAGGCCCAGGCAUUCUCAGUAUCUGUCACCCAACUCCAAUAUAUCACCGUGCAGUGUGUUGCCCUCGGGAAGUGUGUGUCCGUGUUUACUCCCUCCCUCCCAGGUUCAGGUUGCUUUGAGCUCAGCUCAGUAAAUAUACACAGUGCCUUCAGAAAGUAUUCAUACCCCCCAACCUAUUCCACAUGUUGUUGUGUUACAGCCUGAAUUCAAAAUUGAUUCAAUAGAUUUUCUUCACACCCAUCUACACACAAUACCCCAAAUACUUCCAAAGUGAAAACAUGUCUUUAGACAUUUUAGCAAAUCUUUUGAAAAUGAAAUGAAUGUUAGAAUCACCUUUGGCAUCAACUACAGCUGUGAGUUUUUCUGGGUAAGUCUCUAAGAACUUUGCACACCUGGAUUGUACAAUAUUUGCACAAUUCUUCAAGCGCUUUCAAGUUGGUCGAUCAUUUCUAGUCAGCCAUUUAAGUCUUGCCAUAGAUUUAGUGCCUUAUUGCAAACAGGAUGCAUGUUUUGGAAUAUUUGUAUUCUGUACAGGCUUCCUUCUUUCCCCUCUCAUUCAGGUUAGUAUUGUGGAGUAACUACAGUAUUGAUCCAUCCUCAGUUUUCUCCUACCACAGCUAUUAAACUCUGUAACUGUUUGGCCUCAUGGUGAAAUCCCUGAGAGGUUUCCUUCCUCUCUGGUAACUGAGUUAGGAAGGAUGCCUGUAUUUAUGUAGUGACUGGGUGUAUUGAUACACCAUCAAAAGAGUAAUUAAUAACUUCACCAUGCUCAAAGGCAUAUUCAAUGUCUGCUUUUUAAAAUGUAUUUUCAUCUACCAAUAGGUGCCCUUCUUUGGGAGACAUUGGAAAACCUCCCUGGUCUGUGUGGUUGAAUCUGUGUUUGAUAUUCACUGCUCGACUGAUGGACCUUACAGAUAAUUGUAUGUGUGGGGUACAGAGAUAGUAAAGUCAAAAACAUUGUUAAACACUAUUAUUGGACACAGUGUGAGUCCAUGCAACUUAUUACGUGACUUGUUAAGCAUAUUUUUACUGCUGAACUUAUUUAGACUUGCCAUAACAAAGAGGUUGAUGAAUUUAAAGCUUUUCAUUUUUAAUUAAUUUGUAAAAAUUUAGAAAAACAUACACUUUGAUAUUAUGGGGUAUUGGGUAUAGGCCAGUGACACAAAAUCUAAAUUUAAUCCAUUUUAAAUUCAGGCUGUAAUACAAGAAAAUGUGGAAAAAGUAAAAGGGGUGUGAAUACUUUCUGAAGGCCAUGUACACAGUGACACUUGCUUUCCCUUCCUAAAGUGUCACUAUGUUUACUUCCCUACUAAGUUGGAGUACAUCAUUUUAACCAGUAUGUAUUGAGAUGUUUGGAUGUGUGGUGCUCAUGUACUGUAUCCUCAGUCGACUACAAAGUAUUUUGAAUAUGGCAGGGAAACUGACUGUGCUGUAUGUAUUUUUGAACAAUGACAUAACAAUGUCAUCUGCCCUGUUUAGAGUGGUUUACCAGAUGGCUUCCACGGAGUUUCUCAACCUCCACCAAAUAGGGAAUUGCCAUUGACAGCAAGUAAACAACCAGAACACCAACUGCCGCCAAUGUAAACAUCUUAAGGUAGCAUGUGUCUCUGCUACAUUCAAAACUUCGGCUGCAGUUGUCAGGUAAAAACAACAUCCUCCUUACACUACCCCUCCUUACGCUUUCACAACUGAGUCAACUCUAACAAUCUCGAUCCCAAAAUGUUGAAUUAACGUUGAAUGAAUGUAUUCUCACUGUAUACAUAUUAUCCGUAUAGGCUGGGUUAAAGGUCAUGAAGCAUCCAGUGACAGGUGGAAAUGAAGACCACACAACUUGAAGAGAUCAGGUUGAAGAGGGAGGACAUAUUUAACUUGUGGGUCAUAGGUCAAACUCUCUCCCUCUACCUUUCCAUCUCCGCUGCUCUCUUUCACUCUCACCUUUCUCCUUCCCUCUUUCUUUCCCUCUACCCUGCUCUUUCUAUCACCCCACCUCUCUCUUUCUUUACCUACAUGUAUAAUCCUGUCUUUUCCUCUUCUGACCCCCCCCCCCUCUCCUUCAUUCUCACCCUCUCUCUCAGCCUGGCUGUUAUUUCUCCAUAUGUUUUGACUAUGUGCUACCUGAGCUGGUCUGUGCUGUGGGCCUGUGGCAGGUCUCUGGCAGGCAGCAGUGUCAAGUUGGAGGGAGGCUUGGUGGUCUGUGUGUGACAUGGAGAAGGGCCCACCGGCACCGCAGCAACCCCGCUAAGGCCAGGUCUACAGCUGUCCCACCCUGCCAGGGCCUCUGCUUACAGUCACUGUGAGUUACGACCGUUGCUCCUUACUCACACACACACGCUGACAGGCGCACACACAGAGGUGAAUGCCCCCCCUACUAGCAACCACACACACCAUAGACACACACGCUGAGGCAAGAUAUAUUCCUACCAGGAGCUUAAGCCCUGUCUAAGAAAGCCCAUUCCCACUGGGCUUGUUAAAGACAGACCAUGUAGAAAGAGUACAUUUAAAGCCCACACAUCAAAUACAGGGGAAAUGUGAUGUGUAGCUAAUAGCUCUCUGUGCAUUCACACCCACAGCCCGUACCAGAGGGCACACACACACACCCCGUACCAGAGGGCGCACACACACACACACACACACACAGUACCAGAGGGCACACCCCCCGUACCAGAGGGCACACACACACACCCCGUACCAGAGGGCGCACACACACACACACACAGUACCAGAGGGCACACACCCCGUACCAGAGGGCACGCGCACACACACACCCCGUACCAGAGGGCACACACACACACACACACACACACACACACACACACACACACACACACACACACACACACACACACAACCCGUACCAGAGGGCAUGCAAACACACACCUCGUACCAGAGGGCACACACAAACCUCGUAACAGAGGGCACACACAAACCUCGUAACAGAGGGCACACACAAACCUCGUAACAGAGGGCACACACUCACAUCGUACCAGAGGGCACACACUCACAUCGUACCAGAGGGCACACACACACACACACACCUCAUACCAGAGGGCACAAACACACACACACCCACCCCAUACCAGAGGGCACACACACACACACACACACCCAACCCAUACCAGAGGGCACACACACACACACACCCCGUACCAGAGGGCACACACACACACACACACACACACAGUACCAGAGGGCACACACACAAUGAAUAACCCCCACCAGGGACCAGACGCACACAUAGACGAAUGAUCCUUAACAGAUGACACACACAAACUCCUAAAGCCCUCAAUCACAGGCGUGUACGGGCCCAGCAUACAUGUUUGUCCACAGAUCAAUCCAGCUGAUCCAGAAGCAGCCCGACCUUGACCUGACAGGUCAACAAUGCUCUCUCUCUCUCUCCAUUAUUGGCGAGAUGUUUGGACACAGCUUGUAGCAGGGUGAUGAGGCCAGAACUGAUAUUGGAUUUCAUAACCCUAUAUUGCUAUAGUCCAAUCAUUGAAAUGCUUUACUUUAGAACAGAAGCUUUUGCUAAUUAAAUCAAUACAAUUGUCCUGUUGUUCUACAGCAAGGAGAACAUCCCCUGAAGGUGUGUGUGUGUGUAUUUAGUGUGGUGCGGGUGUUGUGGUCAUGUGUGUGUGCAUAUGUGUUCAUGCAUGUAUGUGUGUGUGUCAAUGUAAUACAGUAUCUCAUGCAACAAAUCACCGGAUGGAAUGCUUCUUGGUCCACAGGAGAGGAUGGAUGGAGAGAAGAUGGAUGGAUAGAGAAUAGAGAUUAGAGAUGUAUGGAUAGAGGAUAGAGACUAGAGAUGGAUGAAUAGAGGAUAGAGACUAGAGAUGGAUGGAGAGAGGAUGGAUUGAGAAAGGCGUGGGUGUAGAUGAAUGGUGAGUGGGGGUCCUGCAGUACUAAAAGCCGGUGACCCAGACCAUACACACCCACUCACAGGGACCUAACAACACUCACAGGACUGCUCUUUAGUCCACUGCUACCACAUGCUAAAACACUUAGAUACAACACACACACACAGAUAGCAAAAUGCUAAAUGUGAAGUUCACAUUCAAAAUACAUCCCGAGACACAGACUACCAGUCAGAGACAUAAACACACGUUCUUGUGUGUGUUGCCAUGCAAUGGUGAUGAGCAGCACAUGACAUGAAUGGGGCGUGGAGCCCAACCUCUUAUCAGACAAAGGAGAUACACAGAGAAGAGAGAAGAAGGAGGGAAGGGGAGAGAAGGAGAUGAGGAGGGUAAGGGGGGAGGAGAGGAAGGGGACGUGCCGUCCCAGACUGCAGUCAUGAGGUCUCCAUCCCGUUCGACACGCCGAGUCUCGUGGGUAAAAGGCCAUAAAAGAAACGUUGCGCUAUAGCCAAAACCCCCCUCACACACAGUCAAGAGUCACAACACACACACAGUCAAGAGUCACAACACACACACAGUCAAGAGCCACAACACACACACACAGUCAAGAACCACAACACACACACACAGUCAAGAACCACAACACACACACAGGAACCGGACUGCGUAGAUCAAUGCCAUUCGCCCCGGGAGAACCCCUUUGGCUUUGAGUUGAGGAAGUCCAGACAAGCUAUUUCACACACACUGUUCAUGUGAUCCCAUAAAUUCACUUCCUUUUCUGUAUGUCUUGACCGAAAAGUUGCGUUUGUCAAUAAAAUGUUUGUUUUGCAAGUA